CCCUCCUCCAGGGAGCCCUCCUUCUAGCCAUAGAAGGUUGCAGUUCUUGUUGAGCUCUGGUGACACAGGGUGAGCAGUGUGAGUGAGAGUGGAUGAGGCCCCAGGGGGUUCUGCGCAGAGGCCAUGUGUCCUUUCCAGGGAAAGAGAAAGAAGGAACGGUAGCAAUCUAUGUCCCCGCAGACUUGGGCCCAGGGUCUGACACCGCUGGAGUCUGCUGCCUCCCUGGGCGCCUGGGAAACGUUCUUCCCGUGAUGUCGGUGGGAGAAAGAGGACACAGGAGCCGUGGAAACCUGACCGCGGUGGCCCUCGUCCCCUCCUUGGGCAGUGGAGCGGUUGGAACUUGGUCAGGAGAAUUGCAUCUGGGAAGUGCUAAGUGACACAUAGGCAGCGUCAUACUCACGGACAGACUUGAGGUUGGCCCUCAGGUCCAUGGACACCUUGUGCUUGGAGCCCAGCAGCGCCCGCAGCAUGGCGUCGGCCGAGACACGC